UACGAAGGGGGCUAGCGUUGCUCGGAAUCACUGGGCGUAAAGCGCACGUAGGCGGCUUCUUAAGUCAGGGGUGAAAUCCUGGAGCUCAACUCCAGAACUGCCUUUGAUACUGAGAAGCUUGAGUCCGGGAGAGGUGAGUGGAACUGCGAGUGUAGAGGUGAAAUUCGUAGAUAUUCGCAAGAACACCAGUGGCGAAGGCGGCUCACUGGCCCGGUCUGAUGCUGAGGUGCGAAAGCUAGGGGAGCAAACGGG
rnacentral:rRNA from 1 species